CUUAUACUCCCUCCGUUCCGAAUUACUUGUCGCAAGUAUGGAUGUAUCUAGAUGUAUUUUAGUUCUAGAUACAUCCAUUUCUACGACGAGUAAUUUGGAACGGAGGGAGUAGGUU
rnacentral:pre_miRNA from 1 species